GUGCACUCGACUGUUGUGGCCUUUCGUCUGCCUCCUUCACUUGAAUGGGAGCCUCCUGGGGCAGGGGCUGCUCCUUUUGCUGCUGUUGCAUCUCCAGGCCUGCAGCCAGGCCUGCCCCGCAGUGGGUGUCAACACGCUCUGUGGAACGAGGGACGGAAUGAGGGACGUGAGUGAUCUGUGUGGAUGGAGGAGUGACUUGCAAUGGAAGCCUGCCAGCCAAGACAGCUGGGCCCCUGGACAAAGUCUUGCUCAAUUCCUCAGGUUGCAGUAGAAUGGCAUGAACAGGACUCACUGCAGCCUCGACAUCCUGGGCUCAAGUGAUCCUCCUGCCUCAGCUUCCUGUGUAGCUGGUACCACAGGCCGUGAGAUACUUCAGACAGACACAAUUUCUCCCAGCGACAGGGGAGGAAGCCGAGGCCUUGAGAAGAAUCAUUUUUUGAGCACCAAAAGAAGAAACUGGUGGCGGGGCGCAGUGGCUCACACCUGUAAUCCCAGCACUUUGGGAGGCCGAGGCGGGCGGAUCACCUGAGAUCAGGCAUUCGAGACCAACCUGGCCAACAUGGUGAAACCCCAUCUCUACUAAAAAUACAAAAAUUAGCCGGGCAUGGUGGUGCAUGCCUGAAAUCCCAGCUACUCAGGAGGUUGAGGAGGGAGAAUUGCUUGAACCUGGGGGGCGGAGGUUGCAGUCAGCCGAGAUUGCACCACUGCCCUCCAGCCUGGGUGACAGUGAGACUCCAUCUCAAAAAAAAAAAAAAAAAAAAAAAGAAGAAGAAGAAGAAGAAACUGGCAACUCUGGCAACUCUCCUAAGAGGGAGGAAGAGAGGAGAAAGGACAGGGCAGGGCGGUGACAAGUGUCCUGGAACGGAAAAAGAAAAAAGAAGAAAAAAAUUGCACCUGUGUAGGAGGAGAUGCUGGUGGCCCUUGGAGUGCCCAUGUGAGAGAAGAGCCAGUUCCAGGAUUCCAGUGAGAGCAGCCAGCUCAGCGUGGCUCAGCAGCGGGGGACAGCCGUCUAGGAAUCCCUGCGGAGCACCCCAGAGAAGGAGCUUCACCUCGGGACCUGGGUCUCAUUUUCAGGGACUUCAUCUCCCUGAAAAGCAAUGCUGCAUCAGACACAGAGACGCCCCGACAGAACGGAAAACAAUAUGCACUGUUCAACAUGAAACUCCCAUUCAUCUCACUGCUGCAUGACUUUGCCUAAGAGUUCAGGAUAAAGUAAUGUUUGCAAAUACAUCCUGAAAUUGCUUUUGUGGGUUAGCAUCAUUAGAUUGCAUUAUGCUUUGGGAUUAAAAGCGUUAACUUUGCCAUGUAGCUAUUUCAAAUAGAUCACAAGCUCUUUUUUUUUUUUUUUUGAUGAUCACCACUAUACUAACGAGGAUCAAAUAGACCACAAGUUCUGCAACCCUGUUUAGAUGUUUCUUCAUUUCAUAAAGUAUAGGUACCAAGAAUCUCAGUACCUCCUCCUCUCCCCCCAGACUUUCUCUUGUUAUUCUGGGAUCAAAGGGGCCUCAUGUCCCCUCUGAGGGACCUUACCCCUAUCAAGCAGGCUGGCAAGCGGGAGAACGGAGGCCUGAGAAGCUGCAACACAGCUACACUGAACUCCCCAGCCAAGCCAUGUGCUUGCAUCUGCCCGUCUACUCCAGAGUGUGAGCCAAACAUCUGAGACUGUGAGAAUUCGGAGAGCUGACCCCAGACGUUGGUUCCAGUGUUGGGAGGAACCUGGGAAAAUCAAGGGAUGCUUUGGUCCUGUCAUUGUGACUGACAAGCAAUUAGAGGUGAAUAUCUGUGAAUAUUUGGGGGUUUAGAAUGUACCUGUUGAAAUGAAAUGCCCCUGGGAUAUGAAAUAACUUUAGCUGUUGGCAUCUAAGACAACAGAGGCAGCUGGACGUGGUGACUCACGCCUGUAAUCCCAGCACUUUGGGAGGCCGAGGCGGGUGGAUCACCUGAGAUCACGAGUUUGAGACCAGCCUGACCAACAUGGUGAAACCCCAUCUCUACUAAAUACAAAAAAUUAGCCGGGCGUAGUGGCGCAUGCCUGUAAUUCCAGCUACUUGGGAGGCUGAGGCAGGAGAAUUGCUUGAAUCCGGGAGGCGGAGGUUACAGUGAGCCAAGAUUGCACCAUUGCACUCCAGCCUGGGCAACAAGAGUGAAACUCCAUCUCCCCCCCCACCCCGCAAAAAAAGACAACAGAGGCGUUCAAUCAGUCGGCCGCGGCUGGUGCUGUGUGCCUGGGAGCAGUGGUGUGUUGAUCAAUGUUUAACAAGUGACUCUUUGGAAGAAAAGCCAUGAUCUGUAGUGUCUGCCAAUUUCUGUGGUGUAACUAUUUCCAGCGUGUCAGAUUCCAUGCCACCCAUGUGAUGUUACUCAAUGGAAAACUGGGAAGACUUCACAGUAACACACCAUUAUGUGUCAUUUCCAUCACACAGAUACAGACAUUGGAACCCUGAUCCGCAAAGAUGAUAGCAGUUCUGCUUGGUUCCUGUCUGAGCCUGGAUCUGGAUCUGGGAGGUGCUGGCGGGGUCCUGUUCUUCCGCUCUGGUGGGAAUCUGAUUGUGAUCAGCAUUGGGCCGCAUGCCAGAGACGGCUGCAGUCCUGUGCCUGGCCUGGCCGGCCUCGGUGCUACCCGCCACCCCUCACGUCUUCCCUUCUGGCUCCUUGUACGUCACUGGUCAGUCCGCGAACCCUGACUCUCCAUCAGUGAGCUGUGUGGCACUGGGCAAGCCUCUGCCCUUCUCUACUUCCCAGGGUACAGAGUGAGCUUCCACCUUUUGGCUUGAUUCUCCUUCACAUCUUGCCCACCCAGGCUUCUGACCGAAUCUAGCAGCUCAAGUCAAAUUCAGCUGGAAAUUGGCUGCUGAAGAAGCUGUCUUUCACCCUCUAUAACUGAGGACUUACUGUUCCUAACUGUUGCUAAGUGGGGGCUGUUUUCUUUGAGGGAGUUUUUUCUUCUUUAGCAAUUUUAUAUAUAAAAUAACAAAUGCAAAGUAUGUAUUAUGAGACAUGCUAACAAAAUGAACAUCUGUGAACCCACUACCCCAUCUAAGAAUUAGAACAUUAUCAACAGGGUUGUAUGUGCCUAUGUGUUCUUUCCUGUUCUGUAUGCCUGUCUCCCUUGAAGAGAUAGCUAUUACCCUGAGUUUUGGUGUUUGUUAUUUCCUUGCUUUAAAAAAGUAGCUUCAUCGGCCGGGCGUGAUCCCAGCGCUUUGGGAGGCUGAGGCGGGUGGAUCACCUGAG
rnacentral:lncRNA from 1 species